AACGAACGCUGGCGGCAUGCCUAAUACAUGCAAGUCGAACGAGCCCUUGGGGUCGAGGGGCGCACGGGUGCGGAAGGCGUGGGAACCUGCGCUGAGGGUCGAAAUAACUCUGCGACGGGGGUGCUAACAGCGGAUCAUGUCUUCGAACCAAAGAUUUAUCGCCUUUGGAUGGGCCCGCGUUGGAUUCGCUAGUUGGUAGGGUAAAAGCCUCCCAAGGCGACGAUCCAUAGCUGGGCUGAGAGGAUGAUCAGCCACACUGGGACUGGGACACGGCCCAGACUCCUACGGGAGGCAGCAGUGGGGGAUAGUGGACAGUCGGGGAAAGGCUGAUCGAGCAAUGACGCGUGAGUUAUGAAUGUCCUAAGGUCGUAAAGCUCUUUUACCCGUGAUGAUUAUGACGGUACCUAGUGAAUAAGCUCCGGCUAACUCCGUG
rnacentral:rRNA from 1 species